AGUGGGGGUCAUUUCACGGGACGCUGACACCGGGGCCCAUUUGGGUGAUCCACCCUAACCUUUGCCUGAUGAAGCCGUCGGAGCUGGUCGAUUGCACUGAUCGGACAGCCUCCUGCAUCCUGCCCUUUCUUUCAAAGAGGUGGCAAAAAUACCGCGGGAGACGCGUCGCGGGGCUAUCGACCCUCCGCCCUGCCUGGGGCCCGCUGCCACGCUGGCAGCCCCGCGGACAGCAGACUGGCCUUCCGCCAAAAAGACACUCAGUUUAACACCGAGACAAAAACCGCAACCCAACCUGUACACCAGCCUACGAGGCCAAGCAGCUUCCAUAAAUGUCUGUCUAAUUUGCUUAUAUUUCAGUUGUACCGAAACGAAAUGUUGGAGUAUCAAAGCCAUUCAGAGUUGGUCAUAGAUGAGUGGAAAGUGCCAGGGGCCCUACAGACCGAGCGAAUUGGUGAUGGAGGCGCACUUGUGAGCCUCUUGCUUGGAUUUGUUGGAAUGUGAGAGAGGAGGAUUUUAGCACCAUGUGAACAUCGCUGGAGCUGCAGACUUCGCGCCAUCUGUCUCCCCCUCCGUCUGUUCCUUGCCAAAUUCAUCAGACCUUUCCCCCUCCUCCCCCCCUUCUCUCUCUCUCUCUCCUUCCCUUUUUAUUCUUCUUCACAUUUGUUGGGGAUAUAUUGGGAGGGGGGAUGUUCUCUGAGUGGAUUUUAAGACGAUAUUUCAUAAAAAUGAACAGGGAGCUUUCUGGGAAGUUACAAAUCUGAGUAAUACCUACUUACAAUAAAAUUGUCACAUAAUUAAAAAUGUCAUCAAAUAAGAUCAAAAUAAACAAAUAAGUAAAAUAGAUGGUAUUUAUGAAUAAAUAAUUGGAAAUUGGAUACUUGCAAAUACAGCAGCAUUUUGGUUGGCGCGAGAGUGGUCUUUAAUACACUGUAUGUGGUCCCGACACUGCAAAUGUACACACCUGCAAAAUAAAAACUGUUAAAACAACGCUGUCGCAAUGUUAGAGAAACACAGUGAAAAGACGCAUACGCCCCAUUUUUGUCAAGAACAUUUACUUGAAUGAUUGAAUGUUACUGUUUUCAGUGCCUUUACAGACGUAAUGACUUUACUUCUUCAGUACUUCAUAGGAACAUCUUCACCAAAAUGACAACUGAUCAAUGGCAGUGAUGUCAAUAUUGAUGUCAAAUACUGUUGCAUUUGAAUAGAACUGACAGCCCUGGUAUACGUGAAAAUAACUCUUUUCCCCAAUAAUUACCAUCUCCUUUUAUCACUUUGCUGAAUCAUAAAUAAAAAAUCUUUGCAAAUACAAAGGUUUGAUUCAAACAGGCACUGAGCCUUCUAGCUUUACUUGCCACAUAUUUUCUUAACAUUGUGUUGACUGGGCAAUCAUCAUAACAGUCCUUUUUCACUGUCAUACACAACCAAUUUAAAUUUUACAAAUGUAAGGUCACAGGUUUAUAGAGUCAUUGUUAGAGCAGGUUGUACAUUUUCAUCUGCUCAACUCACAAAAGCUCUAAAAUAUCCAUGCACUAUUUGUCUAAAUGUCUGUAGCUUUAACCAUUAAUCCAAAAAUAAAAGUCUUACCGUGAACUCGAUCUUCACACCCAA